CGCGAGACCGCACAGCGCAUGCGCCAGCCGCGAGACCGCACAGCGCAUGCGCCAGCCGCGAGACCGCACAGCGCAUGCGCCAGCCGCGAGACCGCACAGCGCAUGCGCCUGUGUUUCUUCCCAUUUCCCCCCACUCUCCUCCUUCCCCUUUUGCCCUUCUCCUUCUUUUACACGUGCAUUUCCGUGUACACACGCAUGCAGUGUUUUUGGUUCCUCAUUUUGCAUGCGACUGGAGCCUGGUACGCUGAGAGCCAAAAUAGUCCGUGUCCGGCUCCGCUUUGGGUGUCAAACCGCCCGAGCAAAUAGGCACGGAGCACUCAGGAUUAGAAGAGAGAAAAGUACCGCUGAGCCGGAGCUCCUGGAAUUGACUGCCCGCCCGUAUCUACGGUCUGCGUGGGAAUGGAUGCUGCUUCUAUGCUUCGAGACUCAUACGCACCAUUGUGUGGAGGACUAAGUAGAGGAAACAUCGGCGGAAUUGCUAAGCAGAACUUCUAGAAAGUGCAUAUACCACUUCCACGUGCCUGUGCGCACGCGUCCUGCCGCCUCCGGCACAGAACAAACACGGCCGUACUUUCCCCGAUUGGCCACACGGGGGCAGCAGAGACUGCGGAAACUCCUUCCCAACCCGGCUGACGGCCCGCCGGGAACUGCGGCGGGGUUUCGUUUCUCUCUUUCCUGGAUAGCAGAGGAAAGAAAUAACCACAGAAGAGGAAGGGGUCGCAGAAUGGGAGACGACGAAGAAAACCAAGGAAAACUUCGAUAGACAUACACACUGUGUGAAGUGCUUAUGAAUACCUGUAAAUAAACAAAUAAGCAGCAAAAUCAUGUUGUCAUGGCUUUUUAAACAAUAUUAUUAUUUUUUUUUCAGCUAGCAUCUGAGGUGAUGAAAAAAACAUGGUAUCAACCAGACCGGCACACAGAGAAGCCACGAAUGGCCCUUAAAUGAGCUCAGGGAGGGGUGGGGGCAGGCCCCAUAGAGCCCCAUAGAGCCCCAUAGAGCCCCAUAGCCGCCCCAUAGAGCCCCAUAGAGCCCCAUAGCCGCCCCAUAGAGCCCCAUAGCCCAGAGCCCCAUAGAGCCCCAUAGAGCCCCAUAGCCGCCCCAUAGAGCCCCAUAGAGCCCCAUAGAGCCCCAUAGAGCCCCAUAGAGCCCCAUAGAGCCCCAUAGAGCCCCAUAGAGCCCCAUAGCCGCCCCAUAGAGCCCCAUAGAGCCCCAUAGAGCCCCAUAGCCGCCCCAUAGAGCCCCAUAGAGCCCCAUAGCCGCCCCAUAGAGCCCCAUAGAGCCCCAUAGGCCCCAUAGAGCCCCAUAGAGCCCCAUAGAGCCCCAUAGCCGCCCCAUAGAGCCCCAUAGAGCCCCAUAGAGCCCCAUAGAGCCCCAUAGCCGCCCCAUAGAGCCCCAUAGAGCCCCAUAGAGCCCCAUAGACCCCCAUAGCCGCCCCAUAGAGCCCCAUAGAGCCCCAUAGAGCCA
ensembl:lncRNA